rnacentral:misc_RNA from 1 species
UUAUUUAUUAUCAAAAUGUGCAAUGAUGGAUCGAGUGAUUAUGAUUGUCAGCAACUAAAGAAAAGAUUUUAUAGAAGUGUUUUUGAAUUUGAUCAAACAAAUAUUAAUGAGGUUAUUUAUCAGAAAGAAGAAAUUAUGAGUGAUUGUGUUGAAUCAAAUAAAAUAUCUGAAAUCGAUAUAACAACUACUUCAACAGUGCCUUCUAAUAAAGAUAGUUUGGAAAAAGUUAUCAAAAAUAAUGCACCAAUUAAACCAAAUGACAGAAACGUACCUGAUUUCUUAGAAGAAAAUCAAAGUGAAGAACUACUUAAUAUUUGUUACGAAAGGAGACAUAAUAUGGAAUCAAAAGGUACACAGACAAAUAAUCAAUUCAUAAAAGAUUAUCCGCAGCAUUAUUUGGUAGAUAGCAUGGAUCAUCAAAAUAUUUAUAGAUAUAAUCCAAGAUUAAUGCAAUAUAAUCAAGAAUUAGCAUUAACAAAAUCACAUUUAUACAAUGUUCAUUGUAAUUAUAAAAAAUUAAAAUCUCGAUUUCACAAAUUACAUGGAGAUUAUCAUAAACUUUUAAGUAUUGCUGCAGAAUUAACAGCAGUUCUUGAAAAUUCAGUAAAAGGACAACCCGUUGAUCUGCAAGGAAUGUUAGAAUCUUGUAUGAAGAUAUUUCCUGAUUUAUUUAAUCAAAACAUAAGAGAUGAUUUGCACGUAAAAGUACAACCGUCCAACGAUACAAAUAAACGAGAUAUUAAGCCUAAUUUUAAUAUCAUUAACGUAUCACCAAAGUUGUUAGAUUUUAAAAAGAUUAAAUUACAUUUAAUAAAUGGAAAUGUUAAGACAAAACUACUUCUCUUGCAAGCCUUACGAUGGAAAAUUACUUUAAGUCAACCUGGAGAAUGUGAUGAAUCUAUACACGAAUAUAUAAGUAGAGAUUUAUUAGGAUUACAUGGUCAGAUUGCCAGUGAUAAUGGAAAAUCAAUUUUACCAUAUUUACUAACACCAAAAAAUGUUCCAAUGCCACAUCCAUUGCAACAAUCAGCAGCUAGAUUGUUAAAUACUUUUGCAUCUUUACAAUGUGGUAGAGAUUAUUUAUCUAUAGAUUCAUCGGUAGUUAAAGUGAUAUUUAACUGCCUCAAUGACAACUACCAAGAUGGAGUAGAUUCUUUAACAUAUGAUAUGACACUGUCAACUUUACAAAAAUUAUCAUUGCGCAAGCAACAAAGAUUAUACAUGAUAGAUAGCGGAUUGUUGGAAUGGUUGAUUUAUCAUCUGCACAAUGAAAGUAAUACUAUGAGUUUUUAUAGAUUAAAAUAUGCGACAGCUCUUUUAAUGAAUUUAUCAUUGCAUAAGCAAGCUCAAAUUAGAAUAUCUACUAAAUCAUCAUUACUCGUAUCAACUCUUAUAAUGCUUCUGGCAAUUGAUCAUCCUUCUGUAUCACCGUACGUUAAUGGUGCAUUAAACAAUUUUCUUAUGAAUGAUCAAAUAAAUGAUGAAGCAAAACAUGCCAAUCUUUUAUCCACAUUGGAAGAAUUAUGUACAAAUAAAACUGGAGAAUUAAGAAAAUAUUUGGAACACAUAAUAAAAGUACAUAAACGUGAAUGCACUAUCGAUAUGGAAGAUGAAACUAUUUCUGAUAAUGAUAAUGAAGAAUUUGAUGUAUUGGAAAAUGAAUUGGAGGAGAAUGAUCCUGUUAAAAAUCAUAAAACAGAAUUAUACGGAGAAGUAUUGCUGUCAACGUGUUAUAUGAUUACACCGGAUACAUUUCCAAAAGAAUCUCUAAACAUUGGUAAAGUUUUGGCUAAACCUUCAGACACAAAAUUACUACCACUACGGAACAAUAAAAAACAUAAUCAGUCUUGCAGUAGUACUAGUUCAUCGUUAUUACUUGAACAUAUUCCAAGAGAAAGUAGUACAAUGACAAUACCUUCUUCAAUGACUUUAGAAUCUGCACAUGAAAGUAAAAAAGGACUAGAAAAAUUCAGCAGUAUUGCAUCAUUGUGAGUGAGCAAUAAUGUAUAAUCAUUAUACAUUUUACUUUUUACAGUUUUUGCACAUUUUUUGACAAUAGAAAUUCCACGAUUUUAACGUGUCCUAUGACUUGUUGCCUCCUUAAGUUGAAGAACCAACAUAAACAAUGAUAGAGAUGAAUUACCUGAUAAUGCUGUCGAUACAAUUGAAUUUAAAUGCGAGAAAGAAGAAGAAGAAGC